ACUCCUACGGGAGGCAGCAGUGGGGAAUAUUGCACAAUGGGGAAACCCUGAUGCAGCCAUGCCGCGUGUGUGAAGAAGGCCUCGGUUGUAAGACACUUCUAGUAGGAGGAAGGUAAGUGUAGUUAACUACCUGCAUAUUUGUACGUUACCUUACCAGAAGAAGACACCGGCCGUAACUCCGUCGCCACGCAGCCGCGGUAAGUACGGAGGGGUGCGAGCGUUAAUCGGAAUUACUGGGCGUAAAGACGCAUGCAGGCGGCCUGUUAAGUUCAGAUGUGAAAGACCCGGGGCGUUAACCUCGGAAUUGCAUUUGAAACUAGGCAGGCUAGAGUCUUGUAGAGGGGGUAGGAAUUUCAGGUGUAGCGGUGAAAUGCGUAGAGAUCUGAAGGAAUACCAGU
rnacentral:rRNA from 1 species